UCCCAGAACUCUUAUGCAUGCAUGUAAUGAUCGUUCUGAUGAUGAAGAUAUGAAAUUCUCUUAUUUUUCUUUUAUGAAGAUAUGAUGAAUACAUGUUUACUGUCUAAGUGCAGCAACAGCAAGCAAAUAUGUUUCUCCUUCUUCUUCUUUUCCUCUCUCUGGGAGGAACCUGCACAUGAAGUAGAAGGGCCAUUUGAAAGCAGGCUGCAGACAUCUCAUCCAUUACCAGAAGGCCUGGGAGCACAAGUGAUAGCUCUCUUCACGAGUACUUUUCGCGAACCAAAGAAGAUAGAUAAUAAAAUUCCACCAAAAGUACAAGCAACAACACCUGCUAAAUGGGCUCAGAGUGCUCCAACUCAAGAACGUACAAAUAUAUCUGGCGAUGUACUAAGAAAAGAUCAGAAGGAUGUUACACAUACUCCAGAAAACAAUGCCACAGCAACACCAACUAUCAUAAACACCAACCUAGUUCCGUACGUGACACUACAUCUUGCUGCUCUGAAUGGUGACUGGAUGACUGCUAGAAAUUUCUUGCAAUUACAGCCAGAAGCUGUGAGGGCUAAGAUCACAAAGGGUUCAGAAACUGCUCUUCACAUUGCAGCUGGGGCAAAACGUACACUUUUUGUUGAGGAGCUAGUAAAAUGGAUGACACCAAAUGACCUUGAAUUGAAGAAUGAUGUAGGAAACACCGCCCUUUAUUUUGCUGCUGUAUCUGGUAUCAAAAGGAUUGCUGAGGUAAUGGUGGAUAUUAACCCAAGAUUACCUCAGAUCCGAGGUACUAAAGAUCUAACACCUCUUCAUAUGGCUACAUUGCUAGGCCACAAAGAAAUUGUAUGGUAUCUAUACGACAAGACAAUUUUGACAGAACAAGAUUACAUAGGGCUUCUUAUUUCUGCCAUAACGGCAGAUCUUUAUGAUGUAGCACUGGAUAUAAUUCAAAAGCACCCUGAAAUGGCUUUUGCUCGAGAUAGAAAUGGAGAGACAGCACUACAUGUAUUGGCUCGAAAGCCUUCAGCAUGUUAUAGUGGAAGUCAGCUGGGAUCUUUGAAACGAUGGAUAACUUCGUAUGUGGCUAUGGAUAUAGUUGAACAACACCCUGAAAUGAUUUCUGUUCAAGAUGAAAUUGUGGAGACUACACUCCAAAUAGUGGAGCCUUCGGCAUGUUAUAGUGGAAAUCAGCUGGGACUUUGGAAACGAUUGAUAUUAUCUGUCCCCAAUAUCCAGGUCUCAUACGACAAAAAGUUGAAUCAUAUGCAAGCAACUGAACUUGUGAAGCUGCUUUGGAAAAAAGUUUUGACACUAGGGAGUGAUUUGGGGAUAAAUGAUUUGAUCAAUGUACCCUCUCGCUUAUUGUUUACUGCUGCUGAAUUGGGGAAUAUAGAGUUUCUCAUUAUACUUAUUAGAUCGUACCCCAGUCUCAUUUGGCAAGUUGAUGAACAAAACCGAAGCAUAUUUCAUGCUGCAUUGAUUCAUCGACAGGAAAAAGUUUUCAAUCUCAUUUAUGAAUUAGGCGGUCUGAAAGACUUAAUUGCCUCUUAUAAAGAUGUAAACAACAAUAACAUGCUUCAUUUGGCUGCACGAGCAUCUCCAAAUCGACUAAGUUUUGAUACAGGGGCAGCAUUGAAACUGCGAAGAGAGUUGACUUGGUUUAAGGAGGUGGAGAAGAUUGUCCAGCCAUUAUACAAAGAAAUGAGGAACUCAGAUGGAGAAACACCUCAACUUCUUUUCACCAAGGAACACAAGGAACUACUACGACAAGGAGAAGAGUGGAUGAAGGGCACUGCAUCAUCAUGCAUGGUUGUGGCAACUCUUAUUGCCACUGUAAUGUUUUCUGUCUUCUCCACUGUCCCCGGUGGCAACAACAAUAACACAGGCAUUCCCAUAUUCCUUAAAUCAAGGGCCUUCAAGGUUUUUGUCAUAUCAGAUUCAAUAUCCCUCAUCUCUUCGACCACUUCAAUCUUGAGUUUUCUGUCCAUUCUUACAUCACGCUACACUGAAGGAGAUUUUCUCAAUUCAUUACCGUAUAGAUUGAUCGUGGGGCUUGCUACCUUAUUUAUCUCUAUGGCUACAAUGAUGAUGACAUUUGUUGCCACACUUCUUAUGGUUCUUGGCCCUGGAUUUCAUGAGAUAAAAUUUCCAGUUGCUUUGGUUGCUGCAGUUCCAGUUGGUUUCUACGCGUUACUACAGUUUCCUCUUCUAUCUGAUAUGAUCUGUCAUGCUUAUAUCUCAAGAGUUUCUUUUCGUCCAUGCAACCACCUCUUGCACUAGAUAUACACCGAAAGUACUUUUUUACUCGAUGUGUUUGUGUAAAAUAUAAUUGUCACGACUAAAGAUAAAUAUAUCAUGGUGACUUUGAUUUGAAUUUGCCAAAUGUGGCUUUGGCAACAGUAAGAUUGCUUACAGGGUUAGAACCAUGGUGUGUGCAGGUGCAAACAGAACAUCUCCUUGGAUGAUUGCAUGAUCUCCAUUACUCGUACAUAUGGUUCCCUUCCCAAAAGUGACCACAAAAAUGGAAGGACCAGGUACUGCAGGAAACUCUGUUGAUUCUCCGUGGGGAAGAUGGAUCCGAUCAACCUCAAAUUCUUCAAAAGGCGGUAUGUACCUUGUUACAUGAGGAUUCACAGCAACUCCUCGCAAGAUUUCAGGGAAACCCUGCUUAUAUGUGAGCAUAGAACAAAGGGUUUUGAUAUCUCGAUGCUUGGGAGUAAGGCCAGCCCUAACUACGUUGUCUGAGGUUGCCAUGCACUCGAUGCAAUCCCCAGAUAUAUAGGC